rnacentral:tRNA from 1 species
UGCCGGAUGGUGUAAUGGUAGCACGUCAGGUUCUGGUCCUGAAAAUCGGGGUUCGAUUCCCUGCCCGGCAG